GGAGGGGUUCCCGAGUGGCCAAAGGGAGCAGACUGUAAAUCUGUUGGCACCGCCUACGGUGGUUCAAAUCCACCCCCCUCCACCA
rnacentral:tRNA from 1 species